CUGCCUCCUGCUCUGCUGCACCUACAAGCUACUUGCUAUUCCAGUCCCUCCCCCUACAGGACAUGGAUGCCUACAGGAUCUGUAGAAAGGGACAUCAGAGCAGUGACUGUACCAUAGUUACAAAAGGAUCUUCACUAGACACAGCAUAAAGCCCAGCUUCGCUCUUGGAUCCAGCCACAUUUGCAAUAGACCUGGUCAUAUCAGAUCAAAAACCUGCAAAGUGUGCAAAUGCAGGACAGAGUAAAUCUCCUUUCUCCCACCCCUCACCCCACAGAGCAUAAACUUCAACAUUACCAGCCGUGUCCUUUUCUCCAGACAAGUUUGUAAAAGGCUCCUUGUUCAGUGAACUCUGGAAAUUGAGAGGGGAACAAGCUACUACUUUGUUUUCUGUUUACACCCUGACAUUUAUAAACAAGCGAAAAAUGCAGCCCACUUGUGGAAUAGACAAUAUUCUGCUACUUGGCAAGAAAUAACCCAGUUCAUCAUGAAGACAUGGUAAUAACAUGAGCCAAAUUUCACUCAGACUGCCCUGAAUGUUAUACACCUGCAGCAGGAUCUACCCUAUAGACUUCAGUGGGAUCUACACGUCGGCAGAAAUGGCUGCAAAGGGAUGGGAUUUUGAUGGUGUGAUGUCACAUUGCCUCGCUGAUUACAGGACCAACUAUAAACCUUUGAAAAGUCAAUAUGAUCAUGGAAUGUGCACUGUCUCAAUCCCAGGCCAUCAGCAGGAAAUAAGCCCCUCAGCAACAUGAGGUCUAUAGGCCUGGGGGCUGGAAUCCACAGAUACCUUUUUGAAACUGAUCUCCUCUACCACAGCAGAAAUUGCUGCUGGAAAUGACAAGGCUAGUGAACGGUUCAAGGUUAUCAGACUCUGGUUUUAUUUUUAAAAUGUGCAACUUCUAAUUAAAACUGGCUAGUUUCUGACAUCGCUUUGUUGUUAAUCAGUAAUCAAUCUUCUAAAUUAAGGCAACCAAGUAUCUUUGUUCCAUAUUGCAUUGGUUUAGUCCUGAAGAUAGUGUCUGUCCCUUCCUCUGAGGGACACAUGAGAACACACACAUGCAGAAUCGUCAAGUGGAGGCCCCUACAAUUGCAUCUCAGAAAGCUAUAUCAAUUAUUUGCAGUCAUUUCUAGCAACACCAGAGCACUCAGAUAAGUCUACUUGAAAACAAGCCAUGUCUUUCCAAUUGCAGACUGGGAGUUUUGUAAGCAAAAUGGAGUGUAAGUUCCUUAGACUGGCUCCUGACCCCUCUCCUGAUUGUGCAGAAGUAAAACAGAGAGCUUUUCUGGGAAACAAUUUCUAAUAAUGUCAUACUGUCUAACACCAGUUUCAAAGAGGACUUUGUUAGAGUAAUGGGUUAUAGAUUUACAGGAAUCUAUUUCCCUUUUGCUCCAUUCUCCAAUUUGCUCCCACAUCAAAAAGAUGCAGCUUGAGCAGUGGAAGUGUUGCACGGGUGCUCAUAGACAUGGAUAAGCUACCAUUUUCAU